CCUACGGGAGGCUGCAGUGGGGAAUAUUGCGCAAUGGGCGGAAGCCUGACGCAGCGACGCCGCGUGGGGGAUGACGGCCUUCGGGUUGUAAACCUCUUUCAGCAGGGACGAAGCGGAAGUGACGGUACCUGCAGAAGAAGCACCGGCCAACUACGUGCCAGCAGCCGCGGUAAUACGUAGGGUGCAAGCGUUGUCCGGAAUUAUUGGGCGUAAAGAGCUCGUAGGCGGUUUGUUGCGUCGGCUGUGAAAACCUGAGGCUCAACCUCAGGCCUGCAGUCGAUACGAGCAGACUAGAGUGUUGCAGGGGAGACUGGAAUUCCUGGUGUAGCGGUGAAAUGCGCAGAUAUCAGGAGGAACACCGGUGGCGAAGGCGGGUCUCUGGGCAACAACUGACGCUGAGGAGCGAAAGCGUGGGGAGCGAACAGGAUUAGAUACCCGUGUAGUC
rnacentral:rRNA from 1 species